CUGUGAACCAAUAGCUGAGAAGCCCCCAUGGAACUGGACCAGGCCCUCUGGAUAAUGUCAUUCCAUAGGAACUUAUGCUACGCGUUCAAAUUUUUAUGAACUGUGGAAUAAUUCCUAAGAUACUGAGAUUGAAACAUCCCAUUCAGAGGGGAAGCUCAUUAGGACAGAAAAAUAAACAACUUGCAAUAGCCUCAGCAAGUUCCUGAAACUGACCAAAUUCACAAGAUCCAUCCCAUACUAAAUGAUAUAUAAACAGUCCAGACUGCCGAGAGUCGUUCUCAAAUGAGCUAAACUGCAAUAAAACAGGAAACAAUCUACACAGUCGAGAAGAAGCAGAAGCCAGCCAAGCUGACUGGAAGAGGUGGAAAACAACAGAGCCACCUGGUAAGAACAUUCUCUAGCCUGUUGAGCUGCCAGUGGGCUCUGUAGUGUGCUUCAGCUUUCAGGGUUUUAUGAUCUGCCAUCCACAAUGGUGUGAGGGUUAACAAUGCAACCAUCUCUGAGUCACUUUCGUUCCUUAAGUAACCCCUUACUCAUAUUGCUAUGAGAU